UUCUCUAUGGCCAAAUGGUUAAGGCGUCCGACUGUUACUCCUAGUAGCAUACAUCGGAAGAUUCAAGUUCGACCCUUGGUAGGGAAG
rnacentral:tRNA from 1 species